GACGAACGCUGGCGGCGUGCUUAACACAUGCAAGUCGAACGGAAAGGCCCUGCUUUUGUGGGGUGCUCGAGUGGCGAACGGGUGAGUAACACGUGAGUAACCUGCCCUUGACUUUGGGAUAACUUCAGGAAACUGGGGCUAAUACCGGAUAGGAGCUCCUGCUGCAUGGUGGGGGUUGGAAAGUUUCGGCGGUUGGGGAUGGACUCGCGGCUUAUCAGCUUGUUGGUGGGGUAGUGGCUUACCAAGGCUUUGACGGGUAGCCGGCCUGAGAGGGUGACCGGCCACAUUGGGACUGAGAUACGGCCCAGACUCCUACGGGAGGCAGCAGUGGGGAAUAUUGCACAAUGGGCGGAAGCCUGAUGCAGCAACGCCGCGUGCGGGAUGACGGCCUUCGGGUUGUAAACCGCUUUCGCCUGUGACGAAGCGUGAGUGACGGUAAUGGGUAAAGAAGCACCGGCUAACUACGUGCCAGCAGCCGCGGUGAUACGUAGGGUGCGAGCGUUGUCCGGAUUUAUUGGGCGUAAAGGGCUCGUAGGUGGUUGAUCGCGUCGGAAGUGUAAUCUUGGGGCUUAACCCUGAGCGUGCUUUCGAUACGGGUUGACUUGAGGAAGGUAGGGGAGAAUGGAAUUCCUGGUGGAGCGGUGGAAUGCGCAGAUAUCAGGAGGAACACCAGUGGCGAAGGCGGUUCUCUGGGCCUUUCCUGACGCUGAGGAGCGAAAGCGUGGGGAGCGAACAGGCUUAGAUACCCUGGUAGUCCACGCUGUAAACGGUGGGUACUAGGUGUGGGGUCCAUUCCACGGGUUCCGUGCCGUAGCUAACGCUUUAAGUACCCCGCCUGGGGAGUACGGCCGCAAGGCUAAAACUCAAAGGAAUUGACGGGGCCCCGCACAAGCGGCGGAGCAUGCGGAUUAAUUCGAUGCAACGCGUAGAACCUUACCUGGGUUUGACAUGGAUCGGGAGUGCUCAGAGAUGGGUGUGCCUCUUUUGGGGUCGGUUCACAGGUGGUGCAUGGCUGUCGUCAGCUCGUGUCGUGAGAUGUUGGGUUAAGUCCCGCAACGAGCGCAACCCUUGUUCACUGUUGCCAGCACGUUAUGGUGGGGACUCAGUGGAGACCGCCGGGGUCAACUCGGGGGAAGGUGAGGAUGACGUCAAGUCAUCAUGCCCCUUAUGUCCAGGGCUUCACGCAUGCUACAAUGGCUGGUACAGAGAGUGGCGAGCCUGUGAGGGUGAGCGAAUCUCGGAAAGCCGGUCUCAGUUCGGAUUGGGGUCUGCAACUCGACCUCAUGAAGUCGGAGUCGCUAGUAAUCGCAGAUCAGCAACGCUGCGGUGAAUACGUUCCCGGGGCU
rnacentral:rRNA from 1 species